ACGCCAGCUUGCUUUUAUCGAAAGUGGCGCACGGGUGCGUAACGCGUAUGCAACCUACCUUAAUCUGGGGGAUAGCCCGGAGAAAUCCGGAUUAACACCGCAUAAAAACACAGGAUAGCAUUAUCCAAUGUUCAAAUAUUUAUAGGAUUGAGAUGGGCAUGCGUGUCAUUAGCUAGUUGGCGGGGUAACGGCCCACCAAGGCGACGAUGACUAGGGGAUCUGAGAGGAUGGCCCCCCACACUGGUACUGAGACACGGACCAGACUCCUACGGGAGGCAGCAGUAAGGAAUAUUGGUCAAUGGAGGCAACUCUGAACCAGCCAUGCCGCGUGCAGGAAGACUGCCCUAUGGGUUGUAAACUGCUUUUAUCCGGGAAUAAACCUACUUACGUGUAAGUAGCUGAAUGUACCGGAAGAAUAAGGAUCGGCUAACUCCGUGCCAGCAGCCGCGGUAAUACGGAGGAUCCAAGCGUUAUCCGGAUUUAUUGGGUUUAAAGGGUGCGUAGGCGGCCUGUUAAGUCAGGGGUGAAAGACGGUAGCUCAACUAUCGCAGUGCCCUUGAUACUGAUGGGCUUGAAUGGACUAGAGGUAGGCGGAAUGAGACAAGUAGCGGUGAAAUGCAUAGAUAUGUCUCAGAACACCGAUUGCGAAGGCAGCUUACUAUGGUCUUAUUGACGCUGAGGCACGAAAGCGUGGGGAUCAAACAGGAUUAGAUACCCUGGUAGUCCACGCCCUAAACGAUGAACACUCGCUGUUGGCGAUACACAGUCAGCGGCUAAGCGAAAGCGUUAAGUGUUCCACCUGGGGAGUACGCCCGCAAGGGUGAAACUCAAAGGAAUUGACGGGGGCCCGCACAAGCGGAGGAGCAUGUGGUUUAAUUCGAUGAUACGCGAGGAACCUUACCCGGGCUUGAAAGUUAGUGAAUGAUCUAGAGAUAGAUCAGUCCGCAAGGACACGAAACUAGGUGCUGCAUGGCUGUCGUCAGCUCGUGCCGUGAGGUGUUGGGUUAAGUCCCGCAACGAGCGCAACCCCUAUGUUUAGUUGCCAGCACGUUAUGGUGGGGACUCUAAACAGACUGCCUGUGCAAACAGAGAGGAAGGAGGGGACGACGUCAAGUCAUCAUGGCCCUUACGUCCGGGGCUACACACGUGCUACAAUGGAUGGUACAGAGGGCAGCUACAUAGCAAUAUGAUGCGAAUCUCACAAAGCCAUUCACAGUUCGGAUUGGGGUCUGCAACUCGACCCCAUGAAGUUGGAUUCGCUAGUAAUCGCGUAUCAGCAAUGACGCGGUGAAUACGUUCCCGGGCCUUGUACACACCGCCCGUCAAGCCAUGGAAGCUGGGGGUACCUAGAGUA
rnacentral:rRNA from 1 species